rnacentral:rRNA from 1 species
GGACUGAGAGGUUGAACGGCCACAUUGGGACUGAGACACGGCCCAGACUCCUACGGGAGGCAGCAGUGCGGAAUAUUGCACAAUGGGGGAAACCCUGAUGCAGCGACGCCGCGUGGAGGAAGAAGGUCUUCGGAUUGUAAACUCCUGUUGUUGGGGAAGAUAAUGACGGUACCCAACAAGGAAGUGACGGCUAACUACGUGCCAGCAGCCGCGGUAAAACGUAGGUCACAAGCGUUGUCCGGAAUUACUGGGUGUAAAGGGAGCGCAGGCGGGAAGACAAGUUGGAAGUGAAAUCUAUGGGCUCAACCCAUAAACUGCUUUCAAAACUGUUUUUCUUGAGUAGUGCAGAGGUAGGCGGAAUUCCCGGUGUAGCGGUGGAAUGCGUAGAUAUCGGGAGGAACACCAGUGGCGAAGGCGGCCUACUGGGCACCAACUGACGCUGAGGCUCGAAAGUGUGGGUAGCAAACAGGAUUAGAUACCCUGGUAGUCCACACCGUAAACGAUGAUUACUAGGUGUUGGAGGAUUGACCCCUUCAGUGCCGCAGUUAACACAAUAAGUAAUCCACCUGGGGAGUACGACCGCAAGGUUGAAACUCAAAGGAAUUGACGGGGGCCCGCACAAGCAGUGGAGUAUGUGGUUUAAUUCGACGCAACGCGAAGAACCUUACCAAGUCUUGACAUCCCUUGACAGACAUAGAAAUAUGUAAUCUCUUCGGAGCAAGGAGACAGGUGGUGCAUGGUUGUCGUCAGCUCGUGUCGUGAGAUGUUGGGUUAAGUCCCGCAACGAGCGCAACCCUUAUGGUCAGUUACUACGCAAGAGGACUCUGGCCAGACUGCCGUUGACAAAACGGAGGAAGGUGGGGAUGACGUCAAAUCAUCAUGCCCUUUAUGACUUGGGCUACACACGUACUACAAUGGCGUUAAACAAAGAGAAGCAAGACCGCGAGGUGGAGCAAAACUCAGAAACAACGUCCCAGUUCGGACUGCAGGCUGCAACUCGCCUGCACGAAGUCGGAAUUGCUAGUAAUCGUGGAUCAGCAUGCCACGGUGAAUACGUUCCCGGGCCUUGUACACACCGCCCGUCACACCAUGAGAGCCGGGGGGACCCGAAGUCGGUAGUCUAACCGCAAGGAGGACGCCGCCGAAGGUAAAACUGGUGAUUGGGGUGAAGUCGUAACAAGGUAGCCGUAGGAGAACCUGCGGCUG